rnacentral:rRNA from 1 species
UCGAGAAUUUUUCACAAUGGGCGAAAGCCUGAUGGAGCGACGCCGCGUGGGGGAUGAAUGGCUUCGGCCCGUAAACCCCUGUCAUUCGCGAGCAAACGUUAUUAUUUAAAAGAUGAUAGCCUGAUAGUAGCGAAAGAGGAAGGGACGGCUAACUCUGUGCCAGCAGCCGCGGUAAUACAGAGGUCCCAAGCGUUGUUCGGAUUUACUGGGCGUAAAGGGUGCGUAGGUGGUGGGGUAAGUCGGAUGUGAAAUCUCCGAGCUCAACUCGGAAAGUGCAUUGGAAACUACCCUGCUCGAGGGUUGGAGGGGGGACUGGAAUACUUGGUGUAGCAGUGAAAUGCGUAGAUAUCAAGUGGAACACCAGUGGCGAAGGCGAGUCCCUGGACAACUCCUGACACUGAGGCACGAAAGCUAGGGG